rnacentral:tRNA from 1 species
AAGCGAGAAGCAAAAAUUGCAAUCAGUUUCGACCUGAUCUUAGAUAAAAAUGUUUUAUCCUUGCUUU